UACGUAGGGAGCAAGCGUUAUCCGGAUUUAUUGGGUGUAAAGGGUGCGUAGACGGGAAGACAAGUUGGUUGUGAAAUCCCUCGGCUUAACUGAGGAACUGCAACCAAAACUAUCUUUCUUGAGUGCAGGAGAGGAAAGAGGAAUUCCUAGUGUAGCGGUGAAAUGCGUAGAUAUUAGGAGGAACACCAGUGGCGAAGGCGUCUUUCUGGACUGUAACUGACGUUGAGGCACGAAAGUGUGGGGAG
rnacentral:rRNA from 1 species